ACGGGAGGCAGCAGUAGGGAAUAUUGCACAAUGGGGGAAACCCUGACGCAGCGACGCCGCGUGAGUGAAGAAGUAUUUCGGUAUGUAAAGCUCUAUCAGUAGGGAAGAUAAUGACGGUACCUAACUAAGAAGCACCGGCUAAAUACGUGCCAGCAGCCGCGGUAAUACGUAUGGUGCAAGCGUUAUCCGGAUUUACUGGGUGUAAAGGGAGCGUAGGUGGUCUGGCAAGCCAGAAGUGAAAACCCGGGGCUCAACUCCGCGGAUUGCUUUUGGAACUGUUGGACUAGAGUGCAGGAGGGGUAAGCGGAAUUCCCAGUGUAGCGGUGAAAUGCGUAGAUAUUGGGAGGAACACCAGCGGCGAAGGCGGCUUACUGGACUGUAACUGACACUGAGGCUCGAAAGCGUGGGGAGCAAACAGGAUUAGAUACCCUGGUA
rnacentral:rRNA from 1 species